CUUUGAAUUCCUGGGCUUGAGUGACCUCCCCACCUCAGCCUCCUGAGUAGCUGAGACUACAAAUGUGCCUUGCUUCUCCUUCAUUUUCUGCCAUGAUUGUAAGUUUCCUGAGGCCUUCCCAGCCAUGUGGAACUGCAUUCUAAUAUACGCAUUCUUCAUGACAACUAUGUGAAACAUAUUAAUAUCCUCAUUGUUAAAGAUGAAGAAACUAAAUCUCAGGAAGAAAAACUAAGUGAAGACAAAAGAAGUAUUUGAACUGAGGUUUGUCAGACUCUCGGGACCAAGCUGUUGAAACCACUAAACCACACUGCCUCUGGGUCACUUGAUUAUUCUGGGAGAUUCUGGGAGUCUUUUCUCCAACACUCCAAUGGCAUCUGACUAUGUGAGCUGAUAAGAUCUAUAGAUCUUUGCUGAAUCUGAUUCUGGAAGGUACAACCAUUUCGGUCAUCUUCCUAAUCAAUACUGUGAGAUGGGACCAAAUUGAUUGUGUGGUACACGAAACACAGCCCAGGAAAG
rnacentral:antisense_RNA from 1 species